rnacentral:rRNA from 1 species
AGAGUUUGAUCAUGGCUCAGAUUGAACGCUGGCGGCAGGCUUAACACAUGCAAGUCGAACGGUAACAGGGAGAAGCUUGCUUCUUUGCUGACGAGUGGCGGACGGGUGAGUAAUGCUUGGGAAUCUGGCUUAUGGAGGGGGAUAACUACGGGAAACUGUAGCUAAUACCGCGUAAUAUCUUCGGAUUAAAGGGUGGGACUUUCGGGCCACCUGCCAUAAGAUGAGCCCAAGUGGGAUUAGGUAGUUGGUGGGGUAAAGGCCUACCAAGCCGACGAUCUCUAGCUGGUCUGAGAGGAUGGCCAGCCACACUGGAACUGAGACACGGUCCAGACUCCUACGGGAGGCAGCAGUGGGGAAUAUUGCACAAUGGGGGGAACCCUGAUGCAGCCAUGCCGCGUGAAUGAAGAAGGCCUUCGGGUUGUAAAGUUCUUUCGGUGAUGAGGAAGGUGUUUGUUUUAAUAGAACAAGCAAUUGACGUUAGUCACAGAAGAAGCACCGGCUAACUCCGUGCCAGCAGCCGCGGUAAUACGGAGGGUGCGAGCGUUAAUCGGAAUGACUGGGCGUAAAGGGCACGCAGGCGGUGACUUAAGUGAGAUGUGAAAGCCCCGGGCUUAACCUGGGAAUUGCAUUUCAUACUGGGUCGCUAGAGUAUUUUAGGGAGGGGUAGAAUUCCACGUGUAGCGGUGAAAUGCGUAGAGAUGUGGAGGAAUACCGAAGGCGAAGGCAGCCCCUUGGGAAUAUACUGACGCUCAUGUGCGAAAGCGUGGGGAGCAAACAGGAUUAGAUACCCUGGUAGUCCACGCUGUAAACGCUGUCGAUUUGGGGAUUGGGCUUAGAGCUUGGUGCCCGUAGCU